rnacentral:rRNA from 1 species
AUACGGAGGAUGCGAGCGUUAUCCGGAUUUAUUGGGUUUAAAGGGAGCGUAGGCGGGAGCUUAAGUCAGCGGUUAAAUGGUGCGGCUCAACCGUGCCCUGCCGUUGAAACUGGGUUUCUUGAGAGUGCAAGAGGCGGAUGGAAUUCAUGGUGUAGCGGUGAAAUGCUUAGAUAUCAUGAAGAACUCCGAUUGCGAAGGCAGUCCGCUGGGGCACGUCUGACGCUGAUGCUCGAAGGUGCGGGAAUCAAACAGGAUUAGAUACCCUGGUAGUCCGCACGGUAAACGAUGAUUACCCGCUGUCGGCGGCAGACAGUCGGCGGCCAAGCGAAAGCGAUAAGUAAUCCACCUGGGGAGUACGCCGGCAACGGUGAAACUCAAAGGAAUUGG